rnacentral:rRNA from 1 species
AGAGUUUGAUCCUGGCUCAGAUUGAACGCUGGCGGCAGGCCUAACACAUGCAAGUCGAGCGGUAGAGAGAAGCUUGCUUUUCUUGAGAGCGGCGGACGGGUGAGUAAUGCCUAGGAAUCUGCCUGGUAGUGGGGGAUAACGUUCGGAAACGGACGCUAAUACCGCAUACGUCCUACGGGAGAAAGCAGGGGACCUUCGGGCCUUGCGCUAUCAGAUGAGCCUAGGUCGGAUUAGCUAGUUGGUGAGGUAAUGGCUCACCAAGGCGACGAUCCGUAACUGGUCUGAGAGGAUGAUCAGUCACACUGGAACUGAGACACGGUCCAGACUCCUACGGGAGGCAGCAGUGGGGAAUAUUGGACAAUGGGCGAAAGCCUGAUCCAGCCAUGCCGCGUGUGUGAAGAAGGUCUUCGGAUUGUAAAGCACUUUAAGUUGGGAGGAAGGGCAGUAAAUUAAUACUUUGCCGUUUUGACGUUACCGACAGAAUAAGCACCGGCUAACUCUGUGCCAGCAGCCGCGGUAAUACAGAGGGUGCAAGCGUUAAUCGGAAUUACUGGGCGUAAAGCGCGCGUAGGUGGUUUGUUAAGUUGGAUGUGAAAUCCCCGGGCUCAACCUGGGAACUGCAUUCAAAACUGACUGACUAGAGUAUGGUAGAGGGUGGUGGAAUUUCCUGUGUAGCGGUGAAAUGCGUAGAUAUAGGAAGGAACACCAGUGGCGAAAGCGACCACCUGGACUAAUACUGACACUGAGGUGCGAAAGCGUGGGGAGCAAACAGGAUUAGAUACCCUGGUAGUCCACGCCGUAAACGAUGUCAACUAGCCGUUGGAAGCCUUGAGCUUUUAGU